rnacentral:rRNA from 1 species
AACGAACGCUGGCGGCAUGCCUAACACAUGCAAGUCGAACGAGAUCUUCGGGUCUAGUGGCGCACGGGUGCGUAACGCGUGGGAAUCUGCCCUUUGGUUCGGAAUAACAGUUGGAAACGACUGCUAAUACCGGAUGAUGACGAAAGUCCAAAGAUUUAUCGCCAGAGGAUGAGCCCGCGUAGGAUUAGCUAGUUGGUGUGGUAAAGGCGCACCAAGGCGACGAUCCUUAGCUGGUCUGAGAGGAUGAGCAGCCAACCUGGGACUGAGGCACGGCCCGGACUCCUACGGGAGGCAGCAGUGAGUAAUAUGGGACAAUGGGCGAAAGCCUGAUCCAGCACUGCCGCGUGAGUGAUGAAGGCCUUAAGGUUGUAAAGCUCUUUUACCCGGGAUGAUAAAGACAGUACCGGGAGAAUAAGCUCCGGCUAACUCCGUGCCAGCCGCCGCCGUAA